rnacentral:rRNA from 1 species
UACGGGGGGGGCAAGCGUUGUUCGGAAUUACUGGGCGUAAAGGGCUCGUAGGGGGCCAACUAAGUCAGACGUGAAAUCCCUCGGCUUAACCGGGGAACUGCAUCUGAUACUGGAUGGCUUGAGUUUGGGAGAGGGAUGCGGAAUUCCAGGUGUAGCGGUGAAAUGCGUAGAUAUCUGGAGGAACACCGGUGGCGAAGGCGGCAUCCUGGACCAACACUGACACUGAGGAGCGAAAGCCAGGGGAGCAAACGGG